rnacentral:rRNA from 1 species
GUGAAACGCCCGGCGCUUAACGUCAGGAAUUGCAUUUUGAUACUGCUGAACUUGAAUCAGCGUUGAGGUGGGCGGAAUGAUGGCAUGUAGUCGGUGAAAUGCAUAGAUAUGCCCAUAGAACACCAAUUGCGAAGAGCAGCUCAUCUGGCCCUGAAUUGACACUGAGCGCACGAAAGCGUGGGGAGCGAAACAGGAUUUAGAUACCCUGGUAGUCCACGCCCCUAAACGAUGCUUACUCGAUAUAUCGGUUCGUAAGACGGAGUGUCCAAGGCGAAACCGAUAAGUAAGCCACCUGGGAGAGUUACGUUCGCAAGAAUGAAACUCCAAAGGAAUUGACGGGGGUCCGCACAAAGUCGGUGGAGCAUGUGGUUUAAUUCCGAUGAUACGCGAGGAACCUUACCUGGGCAUCUAAUGCGCGUGACCGAUCCUGCAAAGGGAUUUUCUCUUCGGAGCACAAAGCAAGGUGCUGCAUGGCUGUCGUCACGCUCG